AUUGAACGCUGGCGGCAUGCCUUACACAUGCAAGUCGAACGGCAGCACGGGUGCUUGCACCUGGUGGCGAGUGGCGAACGGGUGAGUAAUACAUCGGAACGUACCUUAUCGUGGGGGAUAACGCAGCGAAAGCUGUGCUAAUACCGCAUACGCCCUGAGGGGGAAAGCGGGGGAUCGCAAGACCUCGCGCGAUUAGAGCGGCCGAUGCCUGAUUAGCUUGUUGGUGGGGUAAAAGCCCGCCAAGGCGACGAUCAGUAGCUGGUCUGCGAGGACGAACAGCCACAGUGGGACUGAGACACGGCCCAGACUCCUACGGGAGGCAGCAGUGGGGAAUUUUGGACAAUGGGGGCAACCCUGAUCCAGCAAUGCCGCGUGAGUGAAGAAGGCCUUCGGGUUGUAAAGCUCUUUUGUCAGGGAAGAAACACCGGCUCUAACACAGUCCGGGAAUGACGGUACCUGAAGAAUAAGCACCGGCUAACUACGUGCCAGCCGCCGCGGUAA
rnacentral:rRNA from 1 species